UACGUAGGGGGCUAGCGUUGUCCGGAUUUAUUGGGCGUAAAGAGCGUGUAGGCGGUCAGGUAGGUCGGUUGUGAAAACUGGAGGCUCAACCUUCAGAGGUCGACCGAGACCCCCUGGCUAGAGUCCGGGAGAGGAGAGUGGAAUUCCUGGUGUAGCGGUGAAAUGCGCAGAUAUCAGGAAGAACACCCGUGGCGAAAGCGGCUCUCUGGAACGGUACUGACGCUGAGACGCGAAAGCGUGGGGAGCGAACAGG
rnacentral:rRNA from 1 species